GGUUGUGGCUCAGUGGCAGAGCACUUGCCUAGCAUGUGUGAGGCACUGGGUUUGAUCCUCAGUACCA
rnacentral:tRNA from 1 species